UACGUAGGGGGCAAGCGUUGUCCGGAAUUACUGGGCGUAAAGGGCGCGUAGGCGGCCUUCUAAGUCAGACGUGAAAUCCCCCGGCUUAACCUGGGAACUGCGUCUGAUACUGGAGGGCUUGAGUGCGGGAGAGGGAUGUGGAAUUCCAGGUGUAGCGGUGAAAUGCGUAGAUAUCUGGAGGAACACCGGUGGCGAAGGCGGCAUCCUGGACCGACACUGACGCUGAGGCGCGAAAGCUAGGGUAGCAAACGGG
rnacentral:rRNA from 1 species